ensembl:lncRNA
GCAGACUCUCAGCAUUGUCAGAACUGCCGAACCCUGCUUAGAGUAGCUCACCAUGGCGCAAGAAUUGGAGCUUUAUUACUGCGGCACUAUACACGAACUUCAGGGAACAAACACAAACCGCAGUGGAACUGAACAGUUGGUUUUUUCAAAAGAAGAUACAGAUCAGUUCCCUUUCAACAGCUCCAUAAUAUUGGACUUGUGCCGGAACAACCAAUCCCAAGUGAAGUCAUCCCAGUCAUGUUUCUGUGAGAAGAACCUGCUGAGAAGACUAGAGAAGGAAUAUCAGGCUUUGGAAAAAGAGAGAGACAGCUUACAUGCCAGAGUUAUUCAACUGACUAGAAAUAGCCUUUACGUCUCUUACGAUGACGAAGAAUCUGGGUCCGGGUAUUAAAUUCAGUGUUGACCACACUCAAGUAUGAGAACAUACAAACCUUUUCACAUAGUGAAACCUCAGGUGCAUUGAGGACCAAUGUCAUUGACAUUAUGUUGAUGACAUCAUCAAACAUUUUAAGUCGUACGGAACAAUUUCAAUCAGUUACAUUUCAAUAUUUAAACCUCUUUUCAUCAACAGUAACAACUUAAAUUGUUGAAUUUGAAACAUCCACAUCACAUUAAGGUCACAUUAAUUAAAUAAGUUUAGUUUAGAACCGAACCAGGCAUCUAUCCAAGACUGUAACAUGUCUAACAUGUCAUCUGGUAAAGAGGUUCACUGCUAUUUUGAUGGUGAGCUUGUUGUUUAGAAGAAUAGCGCUGUCAAGUCGCAACAUAUUGUAUGGGUCAGAAACGCUGUUAGCAUUAGAAGUAAUGUGAUUAUAAGGAAUAGCACCGUAAAGAAGAUGAUGAUAUCACAUGUGUGCGGUUGUAUGCGUCCUAAUAAGAACAGGAUACUGAAAAAGAUUAGCCAGCAGGAUGAAUUAAAAAGAAGUGAUGUGGCAUUGAGCAAUACAGGAAAGUUUCGCCUGUUGGAUUGAAAUGUGUGUGGUAGGAAGGAGUGCGGCAACCGACAAUAAAAGAGGAAGAAGACCCACCGUCCAGAGCCCUGGACAUUGUUUGAUAGAACUGCGUCUCAGUUCACAGAAAAGGGAACACGUUCCUCACCAAGAACUGGCUGACAGGGAUUUUCUUCUCUCCCCCGCUGGAAACUGGAAGACAGAGGAAGCCCGAAGGACUGCUGACAACUUUGUCUCAACUCCUCAACCCCAAAAGGAUUUAUUACUUUUCCAUGCAACCUCCUUUUAAAAGUGUAAUCAAACCGUAAUGAAUCAAAGUAGAACAGUAUUAUUUGUGUGUUGCUAAUUAACCUGCAAUAAAUAUCUAAACUGCAUUCAUAGUCAAUAUUUCUCAGAGUUAGUCACCAACUAAUAAAAAGUACCCAUUGCUGUAAAAUGCCAUGAUAUUAUUGUGUGCAUAAUAACAAUAGAGUUCUAAAUGAAGCCAGGCGAGUGUCCUUCGGCACCAGCUUAUACCCAGAUCAGUACAUAUACAUGACUAGGAAAUGACAUACAGGAUUUCAUGUGGCAAAUCCGAGGAAGAAAUAACAUGUGGUGCUUCUUGCUUCUAAUUCAAC